rnacentral:rRNA from 2 species
GUGACCUCGGAUCAGGUAGGAAUACC